GCCCAAUUGGGCAAAGCCCAAACAAAAAAAUAAAACCCUUCUCUUCUCUAUUCUUCACGUGAAAACCAAAAGAAAGAGAGAAAACCCUCCUUCUUCAACCUCACGCAACUCAGCUUUCUCUCUCCCGCUGCUCGCCGCCCAGCCGACCACCAUCAACACGCAACCAGUGACCCAAGGCCCGACCACCGCACGCAACCGUGCUCAGCCUUGCCGCGAGCCACCGCUGUCCGCCGGCCAGCACUCCCCUUAAACUCUUGAAUUGGCGGAGAAUUCUCUUUAGGCGACUUUUGAAAGUGUUAAAGUGGCCUAUCA